rnacentral:lncRNA from 1 species
CUCAUUGUCGUUUUCGCUGUUGUUGUCGUUGUUGUCGUCGUUGUCGUCAUCGUCGUCAUCAUCGUCGUUCUUGUUGUUGUUGUUGUUGUUGUUGUUGUUGUUGUUGUCGUUGUUGUUGUUGUUGUGGUCGUUGUCGUUGUUGUUGUUGUUGUUGUUCGUGUUGUUGUUGUUGUUGUUGUUGUUGUUGUUGUUGUUGUUGUUGUUG